rnacentral:rRNA from 1 species
GGGUCAGUAGGUUGGUCGUGCCACCGGUACGUACUGGUCUCACUGAUUCCUCCUUCCUGAAGAACCGUAAUGCCAUUAAUUUGGUGUUGCGGGGAAACAGGACUGUUACUUUGAAAAAAUUAGAGUGUUUAAAGCAGGCUAACGCUUGAAUACAUUAGCAUGGAAUAAUGAACUAGGACGAUCGAUCCUAUUUUGUUGGUUUCUAGGAUUGGCGUA